AAAGGGAAAAGAGAACAACCACCCGUGGCUCCCUGUAUGUGGCCAUGACUUUUCUGACUCUCCUUAGUGUCCCAAUCAUGAAGAUUUAUUUUUCAAUCAGGCCACAUAAUCACAGAAAUGCUUAAACACCUUAUACUGUCAUUGUGGAGGGACGGAACAGCAUUGUACAAAAGAAUCAUCACUGAAGCAAUGGAGAGCCAUCUGCCUAAUUAGCCAGUGACGAAGAUCGCCUUUGAUGAUUUGAAACAGCAAUCUUGAGACUUGAGAGGAAGACAGAGUAAAUACUCUUCAUCUCAUUUUAAAGGAGGCAGACUUCUGCUUAUACUUCAAGAUCCAGCACAAGUACACCUGCUCUGUGGAGCCUUUCUGGACUACUAGUGACAAAGCUGAUUGCUUUCUUCCAGCUUCC